rnacentral:lncRNA from 1 species
CUAAGCACUGCUACUUGAAUAACCAAACCUAUGCCCAAAUCCCAUCUUUGUGGGGCUACCUCCUGGUACUCUUCCUAGCAUCAUUUUUCUCUUUGUCAGAGUCCAAUCAGGAGACAUAAAUCACUUAAAUACAAACUGGUAACAUUUAAUGAAGCUGAGAGUGCUGAGGGCACAUCUGAAACCACUGGAGUUUGGCGACAUGGAGGUCAGCAAAUGAAUUCUCGAUUUGCUAUGGAGGGAGCUACCAGGUGUGACACUUUUUAAUUUGCCAGACCAUCUAUCUAUUCUCAUUGGAAAUUUCAUUCUUUCUUAAAGCCAACCAAAUGAUUAUGGCACAUGUGCAUGGGGCAGAACAUCACAGAAGCAUGAAUAAAUAUCCAGCACUUCGAUAAGCAUCAGAACUGAAGAAUUUGGAAGAGCUCAAAUUUUUAAAUAACCAGAUCGAGGAGCUGCCAACACAGAUCAGCAGGCUUCAAAAACUCAAACACCUGAACCUUGGCCACCCUGUGCGCACUCUAUCUAAGUGA